rnacentral:rRNA from 1 species
UUCGGGUUGGACCGGUACCUUGCAGAAAAAAAGCGACCGGGCCUAGACUACGUGGCCAGGCAGGCCGCGGGUAAUACGUAGGGCGGCAAGCAAUAUCCCGGAAUUAAUUGGGCGUAAAGAGCUCGUAGGGCGGGUCUGUUCGCGUCUGCUGUGAAAAUUACCGAGGGCUCAACCCUCCGGGCUUGCAGUGGGUACGAGCAGACUAGAGUGCGGUAGGGGAGAUUGGAAUUCCUGGCGUAGCGGGUGGAAUGAGCAGAUAUCAGGAGGAACACCGAUGGCGAAGGCAGAUCUCUGGGCCGUUACUGACGCUGAGGAGCGAAAGGGUGGGGAGCAAACAGGCUUAGAUACCCUGGUAGUCCACCCCCGUAAACGUUGGGAACUAGUUGUGGGGUCCUGUCCACGGAUUCCGUGACGUAGCUAACGCAUCAAGAUCCCCGCCUGGGGAGUACGGCCGCAAGGCUAAAACUCAAAGGAAUUGACGGGGACCCGCACAAGCGGCGGAGCAUGCGGAUUAAUUCGAUGCAACGCGAAGAACCUUACCAAGGCUUGACAUACACCAGAACGGGCCAGAAAUGGUCAACUCUUUGGACACUGGUGAACAGGUGGUGCAUGGUUGUCGUCAGCUCGUGUCGUGAGAUGUUGGGUUAAGUCCCGCAACGAGCGCAACCCUCCUUCUAUGUUGCCAGCACGUAAUGGUGGGAACUCAUGGGAUACUGCCGGGGUCAACUCGGAGGAAGGUGGGGAUGACGUCAAAUCAUCAUGCCCCUUAUGUCUUGGGCUUCACGCAUGCUACAAUGGCCGGUACAAUGGGGUGCGAUACCGCGAGGUGGAGCGAAUCCCAAAAAGCCGGUCCCAGUUCGGAUUGAGGUCUGCAACUCGACCUCAUGAAGUCGGAGUCGCUAGUAAUCGCAGAUCAGCAACGCUGCGGUGAAUACGUUCCCGGGUCUUGUACACACCGCCCGUCAAGUCAUGAAAGUCGGUAACACCUGAAGCCGGUGGCCUAACCCUUGUGGAGGAG